rnacentral:rRNA from 1 species
CGCGUAGGCGGCCGGUCAAGUGCGGCGUGAAAGUCCUGGGCUCAACCUGGGGACGGCGCUGCGGACUGUUCGGCUGGAGUCCGGAAGAGGGUGGUGGAAUUCCGAGUGUAGAGGUGAAAUUCGUAGAUAUUCGGAGGAACACCGGUGGCGAAGGCGGCCACCUGGUCCGGUACUGACGCUGAAGCGCGAAAGCGUGGGGAGCAAACAGGAUUAGAUACCCUGGUAGUCCACGCCGUAAACGAUGGGUGCUAGAUGUCGGGGGGCUUGCCCUUCGGUGUCGUAGCCAACGCGUUAAGCACCCCGCCUGGGGAGUACGGCCGCAAGGUUAAA